rnacentral:lncRNA from 1 species
UUCUAGUUUAAUUCUAGUUCAGUUCUAGUUCAGUUCUAGGUUAGUUCUAGUUCAGUUCUAAUAAUUCUAGUUAUGUUCUAAUAAUGUUCUAGUUCUGUUCUAUUCUUGUUCGUUCUUAGUUCGCUUUAAGUUCAGUUUCCAUUGUUGGCCCACUGUUUCAGUGUUUUUUGUUUUUGAAAAAAAAACAUUCAUUCGUUCGGUUUUUGCACACAGAAAAAGCCCAUGUGCCGCGCGUUUAAUAUGUCUGUCUGUCUGCCCACAAGCUGUGGCAGGCACACAUACAUACAUUCAUACAACCAAACUUUAGUUAGGCAGCCAAGCAGGCAGGCAGGCGAGGCUACACAAGGCAAUCAUUCAGACAAGCAAAACAGUCAGCCACAAAAACUCACAUACAUACACAGGCAGGAAGGCUGUCUGUCAGGCAGGCAUUCAGUUAGUUACACAAAAAGCAAUCGAAAAGGAAGGCAGGCAGGAGAGUCAAAUACAGUACAAUCAAACAAACUCCCCAAACACACUGGCUGGCUGGCUACUACAACAAAAAAAAAAAUCCAAACAAAAACAACUAACUACUCUACACUCUAUUCAAGAGCACACACAGAACAUGUGAAAAUAACAACAACAAUAACAAAAGAAAUAUAAGAACUUUUUGUCGUCGUUGGUGUUGUUGUUGUUGCUGUAGUGGCCAACUCACAACAACUGUAUGUCGUUAGCAAUAUAGUAGCAGCAGCAGAGAGCAGUAAAACGCUGUGGCAGUAAGAAAAAAAUAAAACAUACAGAAUUUUGUACACACUUGCAUACAAUCAUGUUGAGUCGUUGAGUAUAAAGUAAAAAGCGUUUUUAAUACGUUUAUUUUACUUUUUUUGCUGAUGGUUUUGUUGUUAUUGCUAUUGUGUGUUUUUGAGUUUUUCAUCAUCAUCAUCGCCAUUGCCAUCGUCAACAACAAACAGCAGAGUAUAUCACCAGAACACCAAACCAAACAGCCAACACCAACCAACCAGCGCCAGCAUUGCUUUUAGCUUUAUAUGCGCUUCUCAAUGCUUUGCUGAAUUUUCAAUUUCAGUUGUAAGCUGACUGCAAUCAGCGUUGGAAGUGAACUUAAAACAAAAAUUACAAAACGUGAAGAAAAAAAUAAAAAAAACAAAGUGAAAUAAUUUAUAAAAACAAAAAAACAAUAAAUUUAAUAAAAACACGUGUAAUAAUACUAAUAAAAAACUAAUUCAUACAACAUACAAUUUAAUCCAGACAAACAUAAAACAAUUAAAGAAAACUUAUUAAAUAAUUAAAAUAUAUAACACCGGUUAUUUUUCAAGAAAACGUAACAAAAACAACAAAAUAUUUCAAAAUAUGAAAACCGUU